GACGAACGCUGGCGGCGUGCUUAACACAUGCAAGUCGAACGGAAAGGCCGCGUUCGGGGGGUACUCGAGUGGCGAACGGGUGAGUAACACGCGAGUAACCGGCCCUAGACUCCGGGAUAACUUCAGGAAACGGGGGCUAACACCGGACAGGAGAUCUAGCGGCAUGGGGGGGGCUGGAAAGGUUCGGCGGUUGGGGAUGGGCUCGAGGCUAAUCAGGUUGUUAGUGGGGGAGUGGCUGACCCAUGCAUUGGCGGGUAGCCGGCCUGGGAGGGUGACCGGCCCCAGUCAGACUGGGAUUCGGCCCCGGCUCCUACGGGUAGGAGCAGUGGGGGAUGUUGCUAUUUGGGUGUGAGCCUGAUCCAGCUCCGCCGUUGGCGGGAUGGCGGCCUUCGCGUUGUAGUCCGCUUUCGCUCUUAACGAAGCUUUGUGUGACGGUAGUGGGUAAAGAAGCACCGGCUAACUCCGUG
rnacentral:rRNA from 1 species